rnacentral:rRNA from 1 species
AGUGGCGAACUGGUGAGUAACACGUGGGUAACCCCCUCUAGAAGUAGGGGAUAACACUUGGAAACAGGUGCUAAUACCGUAUAACAACCAAAACCACCUGGUUUUGGUUUAACCGAUGGCUUCGGCUAUCACUUUAGGAUGGACCCGCGGCGUAUUAGCUUGUUGGUAAGGUAACGGCCUACCAAGGCAAUGAUACGUAGCCGACCUGAGAGGGUAAUCGGCCACAUUGGGACUGAGACACGGCCCAAACUCCUACGGGAGGCAGCAGUAGGGAAUCUUCCACAAUGGACGAAAGUCUGAUGGAGCAACGCCGCGUGAGUGAUGAAGGGUUUCGGCUCGUAAAACUCUGUUGUUGGAGAAGAACAGGUGUGAGAGUAACUGUUCACAUCUUGACGGUAUCCAACCAGAAAGCCACGGCUAACUACGUGCCAGCAGCCGCGGUAAUACGUAGGUGGCAAGCGUUGUCCGGAUUUAUUGGGCGUAAAGCGAGCGCAGGCGGUUUCUUAGGUCUGAUGUGAAAGCCUUCGGCUUAACCGGAGAAGUGCAUCGGAAACCAGGAGACUUGAGUGCAGAAGAGGACAGUGGAACUCCAUGUGUAGCGGUGAAAUGCGUAGAUAUAUGGAAGAACACCAGUGGCGAAGGCGGCUGUCUGGUCUGUAACUGACGCUGAGGCUCGAAAGCAUGGGUAGCGAACAGGAUUAGAUACCCUGGUAGUCCAUGCCGUAAACGAUGAGUGCUAAGUGUUGGAGGGUUUCCGCCCUUCAGUACUGCAGCUAACGCAUUAAGCACUCCGCC